AGCGAACGUUUGCGGCGGGCCUAACACAUGCAAGUCGAACGGGUUGGCAACAACCAGUGGCGCACGGGUGCGUAACACGUAGGUAAUCUACCCUCAAGUUCGGGAUAACGAUCUGAAAGGAUCGCUAAUACCGGAUGUGUUCCGAAAGGAAGAAAGACCCGCAAGGGUCGCUAGAGGACGAGCCUGCGGCCCAUCAGCUAGUUGGUGAGGUAAUGGCUCACCAAGGCUAAGACGGGUAGCUGGUCUGAGAGGAUGAUCAGUCACACUGGAACUGAGACACGGUCCAGACUCCUACGGGAGGCAGCAGUGGGGAAUAUUGCGCAAUGGGCGAAAGCCUGACGCAGCCACGCCGCGUGAGCGAUGAAGGCCUCGGUCGUAAGACUCUGUGGGAGGAGACGAAGAAAGACCUGUGAAGAGCGGGCCGUUGACGGUAGUCUCCUUAGCAAGCACCGGCUAACUACCGUGCCAGCAGCCGCGGUAAUGUCUAG
rnacentral:rRNA from 1 species